CAGGAGCCACAGAGCCAAAAGCAGACAGCCGAGAUACAGGCGAACAGUGUAGAGAGCUAGUGUGAGAAAGCUGUUGAUGAGAGCUGCUGCUGAAUAAAAUCAUUUUUCACCUGCCUACGGCCCCCCGAGUGUUCUUUCUGCUCACCUACCCACUCCCUCCAGACCUCAACAUGACCUUUGGCGUAGUCAUGUACCUGACAAUUGCGACGUUGGCAGGAUGAAGUGAGUAGGUCUUUGGCCCCUGAGGGCUCCUGGGUCAGCUAUGUGGCUGCAGCACGGGCUGUACCCAGGGGCAGCGGUGCUGCUUGGAUGAGCCCCAAUGGAAACGCGGGAGGCAGUGGAGAGGUCUCCUGCAAGUGUGCGAGCACACAGCACCAAGAAGGAAUACACCUUUGCUGGCAGCGUCGGAUGGGCGUUUCUGACAGCACUGCAGGAAGUACAUGCUCAGUUCCACAGGUGCUCUGGGAGACGGAUAUGCGAUAUGCAGCAGGCUGUUUGAUCGGAAUAUCUGGGGCCAGAUGAUGAACGCUUUACCUCCCCCAUGAGGGAUCUUGUGCUGAGUUCAGCACCCCCGGAUGCCUUGGCUCUCCAGCUGCUGUUCUCACCCCGUAUGUAGGACACCGCAUACACAAAGUGACUAUUGCUAUGGCAGCCCUUGGGGAGGCAGAAGGCCAUUGGCGGGACCUGGGAGUCCACGCCAUAAAGAAAUGGAAGGUGCACCCUUCACAAGUAACCAUCCACGAGAUUAAAAGGGGCCCAAGCGGGUGACCCACAUGUGGAUGUGGAUUGAUU
rnacentral:lncRNA from 1 species